rnacentral:rRNA from 1 species
UACGUAGGUGGCGAGCGUUGUUCGGAUUUAUUGGGCGUAAAGGGUCCGCAGGGGGUUUGUUAAGUCUGAUGUGAAAUCCCGGGGCUCAACCCCGGAACUGCAUUGGAUACUGGCAGACUUGAGUAUCGGAGAGGAAAGUGGAAUUCCAGGUGUAGCGGUAGAAUGCGUAGAUAUCUGGAAGAACACCAACAGCGAAGGCAGCUUUCUGGACGAUUACUGACCCUCAUGGACGAAAGCGUGGGUAGCAAACAGG